AAGUCGUAACAAGGUUUCCGUAGGUGAACCUGCGGAAGGAUCAUUACCGAGUGCGUCUAUUUAUGUAGACACCUCCCACCCUUGUGUAUUGUAAUGCUGAUAAGCAGCUUCGGCGGGCCGUUUCUUUGAAUUGAGAAACGUCGGCCCUGAAAAGGCGGAUCCGCGCUCGCCGAAGGAAUAUAAACUCUUUGAUAACUUUGAAGUCUGAUAAAAAAAAAACUUGAUAAUAAAUCAAAACUUUCAACAACGGAUCUCUUGGUUCUG
rnacentral:misc_RNA from 1 species